UGCAUUCAUUGAGUUUUGAGA
rnacentral:piRNA from 1 species